rnacentral:rRNA from 1 species
AUUGAACGCUGGCGGCAGGCCUAACACAUGCAAGUCGAACGGUAGCACAGAGAGCUUGCUCUCGGGUGACGAGUGGCGGACGGGUGAGUAACGUCUGGGAAACUGCCCGAUGGAGGGGGAUAACUACUGGAAACGGUAGCUAAUACCGCAUAACGUCGCAAGACCAAAGUGGGGGACCUUCGGGCCUCACACCAUCGGAUGUGCCCAGAUGGGAUUAGCUAGUAGGUGGGGUAAUGGCUCACCUAGGCGACGAUCCCUAGCUGGUCUGAGAGGAUGACCAGCCACACAGGAGCUGAGACACGGUCCAGACUCCUACGGGAGGCGGCAGUGGGGAAUAUUGCACAAUGGGCGCAAGCCUGAUGCAGCCAUGCCGCGUGUAUGAAGAAGGCCUUCGGGUUGUAAAGUACUUUCAGCGGGGAGGAAGGCGGUGGAGUUAAUAACUUCACCGAUUGACGUUACCCGCAGAAGAAGCACCGGCUAACUCCGUGCCAGCCGCCGCCGUAA